AUGUUUGGGGACCGAGUGAAAUUCUGGGUUACAAUGAAUCAGCCUAACUUAUUGGCAAAAUUUGCUUACAUGAAUGGAUGGUUCCCUCCUGGUCAUUGUUCUAAGCCAUAUGGGAAUUGUGCCUUUGGAAACUCUUCAAUAGAGCCAUACAUAGUAGGUCACAAUAUGAUACUUUCACAUGCAAACGCUGCGAGUAUUUACAGAAAUAACUAUCAGGAGACACAAGGUGGAUAUAUUGGAAUUGCUGUCGCCGCAAGAUGGUAUGAACCAUUGCGAAAUACCACAGUCGACCAACUAGCAGUUGAACGGGCUAUAUCUUUCAAUGUUCCAUGGUUUCUGGACCCUAUAAUUCUUGGUGAUUAUCCUGCAGAGAUGCGCAAAAUCUUGGGUCCAACCCUACCUGAGUUCACAUUAAAGCAGAAGAAGAAACUACAUGCAACCAAACUGGAUUUUAUUGGACUAAAUCAUUAUUCGACAUGGUAUUUGAAGGACUGCAUCUUUUCAUCAUGUGAAAUGGAUCCUAUGGAUGGGGACGCGCGAGUGUUGAGUUUAGUAGAACGAGAUGGGGUGCCUAUCGGUAAAGAGACAGGAGCACCAUUCUUCUAUGAUGUUCCACAUGGGAUGGAAAAAGUGGUCAUGUAUUACAGAAAAAGAUACAACAACACCGCAACAUAUAUAACAGAAAAUGGUUAUGCUCAAGCAAGCAAUAGCAGCAUGACUGCUAAGGAUUUUACUGGUGACGCAGACAGAAUUAAUUACAUCAGUGGCUACCUCACUUAUUUAGCCUCCGCAAUAAGGAAAGGAGCUGACGUACGUGGUUACUUUGUGUGGUCUCUCCUCGACGACUUCGAGUGGACUUCGGGAUACAAGGACAGAUUCGGGCUCUACCAUGUCGACUUUAAGACGCAGAAGAGGACGCCGAAACUAUCAGCUGAAUGGUUCAGGGAGUUCCUCAAAGGUUCGCUUCUGACAAGAGAACUCCAAAAUGGAUCCCAGCUGCAGCCGUACUAUACGUCCUGA
rnacentral:rRNA from 1 species